AAAGAAAGUACUGCACUAGGAAUUUAGUUAUUCAAAAAGAGUUAUCUUCUAAGAAUUCUUGGGUGUAGCUUAGAGAUAAUUUCAUUUCUAGGAGAGAGAAAAAAGAUAUCUAGCCAUAGCACAGUUUCAAAUUUAAGUGUUAAGAUCUGCAAAUAGAAAUAGUUCUUUUGGUAGCCUUCUUGGCAAACUGUCAUUUUAAAAGUUCACUUUAAAUGAGAACAAUCCUAGUUGCAAUGUGAUUGACUCUGUGAGAAAUGCACAAUAACAAAUUGGAAUAUUGGUCUGGAAUCUUGAUGGUUGAUAUCUGUUGUGACAUCAUCCAAGCCAUGCUUCUUUGGGAUGUGGAUUAGGAAUAUCAUCAGGAAUUUUAUUACUGGAUUAUCUCUCUUAAUAGUUUCUCAUAAGGUAGCAUAACUCUUACUGAGGUAAACAUACCCAAUUUUCUGAGCAACAUUUAAAAAUCUAUUGGAUCCCACCUACUUUUAUCCUUCCCUACCUGACUUGUCCAAAUUACUUGGAAAAUAACUUCUUGGGUAUGGUUCUGAAGUCUAGUACACAUGCCUCGUCCUCUGUCAGAUCCACCUGCCUUGGCUUCUGUCUCAGUAGAUAAAUAUUAACAGCUUGUGUCUACAGAUGCAUGCACCAGAGGUCACAGGCAGACAUCUCCACAAGGGUUCUGGAUAUAAGCCUGGUUUGAUAUAUUUCCAGUUGAAAACCUCUGUUAUAGAAAGAUUUCUGACACCUGAGAACAAGAGUGCGGUGUUAAUAUUUGGAGAACAGAAGUACAGUUGUGUUUCAAACUUUGUAUGCUGCUUUGAAUCCCACCCAUGGGAGAAAAGUGGGAUAGAAAUGAAUACAUAACAACAACAACAACAACAGCAGCAACAACAACAACAACAACAACCAGAGAUGGAUACUUCAUUGGGCUAGGGUCUUUCUUGAAAUAUUAAUAUUAAGAAAUGAAAAGAGUGAUGUUGGAAUGGA